ACGGCUAAAUGUUAUCAUGCAUUAUUGCCAUAUUGUGAUGCACUAUUUGUUGAUAUUAAAUAUUGCUUGAUUACCUGUAAUGUGAUAUUGUUAUGCCUUGUUUGUGUGGAAUUGGGAUGAAGUGGACCACCAUGGGUUUGUGAGGACGGUCUGUGAUAUGGAUCCUGAAUAUGAUAUGAUAUGGAGUUUGACCGUCAGCCGGGUAAAUGGGAGAUCGGCGCCCCCG
rnacentral:lncRNA from 1 species